AUCGAGCAGGGCGUGCGGUGCCUGGCCUGCUGCCGAGUCCUUCCCAGCCUGGAGGCCCUGACCCAGCCUGUGAAGCAGGGGCUGCGCCAAGGCUUCAGCUGCCGCGUCUACUACCGGGUGCUGGGGCAGCUGAGGGCGAGAGGGAGGUCCCAGAGGGGAAGAGUCCUGUGCCCUUGGGAGUCGCAGAGAUCAAGGGAGUCGCCCCCUCAUCAGGGCGUCUCUGCCGGGAGCCCUGAGGACACAGCGGAGGAGGGGGUCUCUGCCCCUGCUGGCCCCAGGGACCCAAGCCAGCAGCCCUCCACGGCCACAUCCAUCACCAGUCACUCCUCGACCCGCGGCGUGGAACCUGUGGCCUCCAACCGCCUGUGUGCACAGCCGCCAUGUGAGCCCCCCAGCGCGGGCGUGAAGAGAAAGCGCUCGGCACGUGGCAGAGAGGCCGAGGAGGAGGCAGAAGAAAAGUGGAUUUGUUUCAAAGAUAUUGUCAUCUGUGUAGAAGUUCCAGGAUGGAGCGAAUCAGGCAGAUGCUGAGGAGUAAGGCCAGGCAGGUGGCUCCAGAGCCAGCAGCAAACAUCAGCCAGGCUGCCCAGGAGGAGAUCGGCCCCUCUGUCCCCGCGGGCGGGGAAGAGGCUUGUGGCCAGUGGAAAGAGAGGAGCUGCAUCGCCUGCUGG